rnacentral:rRNA from 1 species
UUCCCGUAGGGGGGGCCUGCGGAGGGAUCAUUACCGAGUUUACAACUCCCAAACCCCUAUGUGAACGUUACCAAACUGUUGCCUCGGCGGGAUUUCUGCCCCGGGCGCGUCGCAGCCCCGGACCAAGGCGCCCGCCGGAGGACCAAUUUACAAACUCUUUUGUAUAUCCCAUCGCGGAUUCUUUACAUUCUGAGCUUUCUCGGCGCUCCUAGCGAGCGUUUCGAAAAUGAAUCAAAACUUUCAACAACGGAUCUCUUGGUUCUGGCAUCGAUGAAGAACGCAGCGAAAUGCGAUAAGUAAUGUGAAUUGCAGAAUUCAGUGAAUCAUCGAAUCUUUGAACGCACAUUGCGCCCGCCAGUAUUCUGGCGGGCAUGCCUGUCCGAGCGUCAUUUCAACCCUCGAACCCCUCCGGGGGGUCGGCGUUGGGGAUCGGCACUUACCUGCCGGCCCCGAAAUACAGUGGCGGUCUCGCCGCAGCCUCUCCUGCGCAGUAGUUUGCACACUCGCACCGGGAGCGCGGCGCGUCCACGGCCGUGAAACAACCCAAACUUCUGAAAUGUGACCUCGGAUCAGGUAGUAAGUGACGUAC